CGUAGACGAAAGCUACGCUAAUACCGCAUACGAUCUAUGGAUGAAAGCGGGGGAUCGCAAGACCUCGCGCGAUUGGAGCGGCCGAUAUCAGAUUAGGUAGUUGGUGAGGUAAAGGCUCACCAAGCCGACGAUCUGUAGCUGGUCUGAGAGGACGACCAGCCACACUGGGACUGAGACACGGCCCAGACUCCUACGGGAGGCAGCAGUGGGGAAUUUUUGGACAAUGGGCGCAAGCCUGAUCCAGCAAUGCCGCGUGCAGGAUGAAGGCCUUCGGGUUGUAAACUGCUUUUGUACGGAACGAAACGGUGAGCUCUAAUACAGUUUGCUAAUGACGGUACCGUAAGAAUAAGCACCGGCUAACUACGUG
rnacentral:rRNA from 1 species